GUCUUGGUGGAUUAGUUGUUGGAAAUGAAUCCUGGGUAACAACAAGGCUUAAGGAGGCUGCUGUCUCUUUAAAUGGAACGAGCUUGCAAGAUGCACCGAAACAGGAAGCGUUUGUUAAAAGCAAACAAUGAAGGAUCGGAGAAGUGGGAGAGCAUUCAAUAUAGCAACAAACAGGACAGUGUAGCUUCUCCUUUUGGUACUUUCUUCAGCUUUUACUGUAUGACACAACUUUUACUUAGAAGGUUUAUCGUGGUGAAGUCCCCUUUCCUAAGAACAAACCAUCAGAAAAAAAGAGGGGAAACCAAAAAAGGGGGAACUUUCUAUACUAAAGCAGACAUUGCUGGAAUCUGAUAGAACAAUGAGAGAUUCCCAUCCCAGUUGGGCCUGCUUGUCUUACAGCCUGUUGACCUUUUCCUUGCUUUGUGUAACAGCUGAGAACCAAUGUAAGAUCAGAAAUCAAGUGGCUGACUGCAGUCAUCUAAAGCUGAAACAAAUUCCUUCAGAUCUCCCAAUUAAUAUAACAGCGUUGGACAUUUCUCAUAACCAGCUAAACAAGCUACCACCUGCAAAUUUAACAAAGUACAGCCAGCUUAUUUACUUGGAUGCAGGAUCCAACUCCCUCUCUAAACUUCAGCCAGAACUGUGCCAAACUUUGCCCCUGUUGAAAGUUUUGAAGCUGCAACAUAAUCAGUUGCAUGAGCUCACUGACAAUGUUUUUGCUUCCUGUUCCAGCCUGACAGAGCUCAAUUUAGGGUACAACAUAAUAAAGAUCAAAAACAAUCCUUUCAAAAACCUGAAGAAUUUGAACAAACUGGAUGUAUCUCAUAAUCGUUUGCUUUCUACAAAAUUAGGAUCUCAGCAACAGUUGGAGAGCCUUCGUGAGCUCGUGCUAUCAGAGAAUAAAAUCACUGAGUUAAAAAAGGAAGAACUAGAUUUUCUUAGCAAGACUUCCUUAAAUAGGCUUGACUUAUCAUCAAACCCACUGAAAGAGUUUCACACAGGUUGUUUACAUGCAAUUGGAAAUCUGUAUGGCCUUGUGCUGAACAACGUUGAGCUUGGCGAAAAUCACACAGAGAAACUUUGCUUGGAAUUAUCAGGCACAAGAAUUCAGAAUCUGUCACUGAGCCAGGUCCAGCUUUCUUAUAUUUACAAGUCAACCUUCCAUGGACUGCAAACAACAAACAUCACAGCUUUAAACCUUUCCAAAAAUUAUUUGAACAUGAUAGACAAUGACUCUUUUACCUGGCUUUCAAACUUAGAGAAUUUAAACCUAGAGGAUAAUAGGAUUUAUCACUUAUCUUCUCAUUCAUUGUAUGGAUUGUCCAAUGUCAAAUAUUUGAAUCUGAGACGGUCACAUGUCAGAAAAAUUGAUGAUUUCUCCUUUCGUUGGCUAAGCCAUUUAGAGUAUCUUCUUAUAGAUAGUAAUAAUUUUCAAGCAAUUACUCCUAAUAUGUUCACAGGCUUGGACAAUCUGAAAUAUUUGAGUCUAUGUAACUGGACCAAUGGCUUACAAAUAAUAACUAAUAAAACGUUUUCAUCACUUGCUAAUUCUACUCUGCAGUUUCUUAAUCUUACAAAAAGUAGAAUCACAAAAAUAGAAAGUGGAGCAUUUUCUUGGUUGGGACACCUAAAAAUUCUUGAUUUGGGACUCAAUGAAAUAAACCAGAUGCUCACAGGUCAUGAGUUUAAAGGUCUGCAAAAUAUUGAGGAUAUCUACCUUUCCUACAACAAACAGUUGACUUUGACAAGCGAAUCGUUUGCUUUUGUUCCAAGCCUUAGAAAACUGAUGCUACGGAAGGUAGCUUGUAGCAAUCUGGACCUCUCUCCUUCACCUUUUCACCCUCUACGGAAUCUAACCAUCCUGGAUAUCAGCAACAACAAUCUAGCUAAUGUAAAAGAUGAUUUGUUUGAUGGACUUCACAAACUUGAAAUUCUGGAUUUGCAACAUAAUAAUUUGGCUCGACUUUGGAAACAUGCCAAUCCGGGUGGCCCUGUCCUUUUUUUAAAAGAUCUUCUUAACCUGCAUAUACUUAAUUUGAAGUCUAAUGGCUUGGAUGAGAUUCCAGUACAAGUUUUCAAGGGAUUGUUUCAAUUAAGAAGCCUGGAUUUAGGAUCAAAUAAUUUGAACUUGCUUCCAGCAUCUUUGUUUGAUGACCAGAUAUCUCUGAAUUCAUUGAUCCUUCAGAAAAAUCUUAUAACAUCUGUUGAAGAAAAAGUGUUUGGGACAGCUUUCAAGAAUCUGAAAGAACUAGAGAUGGAUUCCAAUCCAUUUGACUGCACCUGUGAAAGUAUCUCCUGGUUUGUUAGUUGGCUUAAUGUGACCCAAACAAACAUACCUGGAUUAGAUACCCAUUACCUUUGCAACACACCACCUAAAUAUCAUAGUAAUCUGGUGAUGCAUUUUGACAUUUCACCCUGCAAAGAUAGUGCCCCUUUUAAAUUACUGUAUAUAAUAAGCACCACUGUGAUAAUGCUGCUCCUCUUUAUUGUUAUUCUUAUCCAUUUUGAAGGCUGGAGGAUAGCAUUUUACUGGAAUGUGUCAGUAAAUCGAGUACUUGGUUUUACAGAAAUAGACAGGCAACAGGAAGAAUUUGAUUAUGAUGCCUACAUUAUUCAUGCAAGAAGGGACAGAAAUUGGGUGUCCAAGAACUUCAUUCCUCUGGAAGAAAAUGAUCAGUCUCAAAUUAGGUUUUGUUUAGAGGAACGAGACUUUGAAGCAGGCAUAUCUGAAUUUGAAGCCACUAUUAAUAGUAUAAAAAAAAGUCGGAAGAUUAUCUUUGUUGUCACUGAACAUCUCUUAAAAGAUCCCUGGUGCAAAAAGUUCAAGGUGUACCAUGCUGUCCAGCAAGCUAUUGAGCAAAGUCGGGAUUCCAUCAUACUGAUCUUCCUUCAUGACAUUCCAGAUUACAAACUGAAUCAUGCACUUUGCUUGAGAAGAGGAAUGUUCAAAUCUCGCUGCAUCUUGGAUUGGCCAGCUCAGAAAGAACGGGUCAGUGCAUUUCAUCAGCAAUUAAAAAUGGCACUUAAAUCUAGCAGCAACAUGCAUUGAAUUUCUAAAGUAUAAGAUUGAACUGAUAGGACACUUCAUUUCAGACUGACUAAAGGAUAAGAGUCCUUAUGGGGAAAAAUUAAACCAAUCCACAGCAACUCUUCUAUUUUUCCUAUUAUGUGUUUUUAAUUGGUAAUUGUUCUUAUCCUUCGUAUAUUGUUUCACCUGUAUUUUGAGUUCAUAAAAUGGCCAUGAUGGACACAAAAAAUAGGACCGACAACUCUUUCAAUCUGUGAUCAUAAAGAAUCAGCUUAUUUAAAAUAGAGCAGAAAUAGAGUGAAGAAAGGGGUGGUGAGAAUGAGUAGCGGCAUGGUAAAUUUCCAUAUGAAGGGGUGCUGAAAAGACUGGGACUGUUUACUUUAAAGAGGAAAUGAAUAAGAGGGAGGAAAUGUGAUACAGAUAUACAAAGUAAUGAAUGCUAGAGAGGGAGUAUGCGCCUGGACAUGUAGACCUCAUUUGUUAAUUCCUUCAGUGUUGGAGAGGGCUGCCUGCAGGCCCUCUGGAUUAAGAUGAAUUUCAAGCAAUGUGAGAGGAUCCAGAACUUCUCUCCUGCUUCCUAAUUCUAAUAGUCUUCUAUCUAGAUGCCUCCCCUCUAAAAAAGCUUGAAUUUAGGGCAUCCCGAAAGGAAAUGUUUUAGUAUUCUAUAAAUUCAAGAACAGUAAAUUGAUAUUUCUAGUCCUUAAUUUUUUUUUCAAAUGAAAGAUGAAAUCUGAUAAAUAUUGCUUCCAUAGCAGAUAGUUAUUAUCCAAAAUGCAUUUUCUGGGUAUAAGGACCUUACCUUGCAAAAUUCUAAGCUGUGUAGUUUUUUCUUUUUAGUUCUACCUUUGGUUUUUCCACUUAAAAUGAGUUGGAGAAAGGUGUUUAAAUAAGAAUGGCAUACUGGUACCAUGUGUCUUGUAAACAGUACAAUUAAUGGUCAAAGGGAAAAUGAGAGCCUUAACUGUGACUUGACGAGAGCGCACUCACAGCUACCCGUAGGGCAGAAUUUGAUGGAGGAACCAGGCUGUUGCUCUGACAGUACUGAACAUUGACGCCCUAAUUCCCUACUCCCUUGUACCAGGCUACUAUUCUGAUUUGGUGAAGUCUCAGACUCAUUUGACACAGGUAUAAAUGACUAUACAAACUGCAAGGUAGUGAAGAAUCAGCCCCUAAAACUUUUAAACCCUUUUAGGGACAAAUCUUCCUUCUCCCAUAAUGGAAGGCCCCUCUAAGCAGAGAAAUUGGUAUGGUUCUGCUGCGUUGGGUGCCUAGACCAUGGAAGUCUAUGUAAGGGGUAUAUACCUUCUGUGGUGCUAGGAGUCCAGCUUCCCAGCCAUGUGGGGAUGAUUCUUUCUACCUUGGUCUCCAUGGAUUUUCAUGAUAUUCAGCCUGCUAGUUGUGAUGUGCACUGAAUGGGGCCUUCAUGUUUUUGUACAGACAUAAUCACAUACUAUUCAAAAUACAAUAUGUCUCUUUAAGAGGUUGUAGCUUUACCUAGAAAUCUAUUACUAAAACAUAGGAAAAUUCUUGUGGAUUAUAUCAAUGAAAGAAAACCACAGCAUCCCGAUUUGCAUGACAUUUUACAUGCACAUAAAUCUUAGUGUGAAUGACAGCAACAGUCAGCUCCCCUUCUCCUGCUGCCAGCUUGCAUCAAAUGGCAGCUAAAAAUACAUGCCUAUUUAAGUAUGCAAUUUCUUUGUAUGCCACAGGGAAACUAUGGGGCUAUUACUAGCAAAGGAGGUGGCUUGUAUGAUAGCCAAUGAUAGAAGAGGUGGUCCACAUCACAAUCUUUCUAUUGAAAUUUGAUGCAUGUUGAGGGGCGGGGAGGGGACCUUUGAGGAACCCUGAACUAAGAAACAGACUCUGGUUGAAAUGGGUAGACUUAUCUAGCAGGGUGCUGGUACAGAAGCACCUAAUUAGCCCCUGUCCAGUCAGCUCCAAUCAGGGGAAACAGAUUGGGGCUGAUGGAAAAGGCCUGAUGCUGGCCUGAGGAUUGGCGACACCUGCUGGCCUGACAAGCCAAAAGGCUGGGAGGGAGCUAGGGAGAAGUCAGUCAGUCAGGCUUCCUAGCUGAAGGCUGCCUCUGCCUGUAAAGGAGGUGACUAAUCCUGCAAGACUUGUAUAUAGAUACCCACUGGUGGUGGGAGAACCUUAUAUAAAUAAAGAUGUGCGUUUCACAACCCGGAAGCCUCUCGGAGCCUUAUUGGGGGCAGCAAGCGGGCCCCGGGAAGAAGGGUAGGACUUGAACCCUGUUACAACUUUACAUUGGAUUUUUAACUCUUUUUUUUUUUCCUUGUAGUUUUCAGAUAUCUAUUUUUCUUGGUAAGCUGUUGCAAACUGGAGCUUUGCAAAUCCUCAUGGUUUUACAAUGAACACUGAGAUGUAUUUAAUUCAGCCCUGAGUUAUAUAUACAGUUCACUUAGGUUUUCCUCCUUCAAUGAAAACUGUUCUAAUAUGCAUUAAAUUCUACAAGCAAGAUAAGAAAUAGCUGCUAUUUCCUGUGAGCAGCUGAAUAGCUACCUACCAGAAAUCAAUAUCUAGUUGGAGAAUGAAAAAAACCCUAUCGUACUAUUUUACCAAUAUUACUAUUAUUUCUUAGUGUCCCUAAAAAAAUCUAUAGGUACCCACGUCUGGCUCUGCGGCCCUCUCCCAUAAAUUAGAAAUAUACAAAUGAAAGCGUCUCAUAUUCAUCCACCAAAUCCUCAGCCCAUCCCCUCUUCAAUAACCUGAGAACGGAUGGGUUCUGCAGACUUCCCAAAUACAGGAUCUGGUGGACCAAAGGGAAAGUAGGUCCCAAAGUGGAGAUUAUCCUCAUUGUGAUGCUCUCAUCUCAUCUUUCUCAUCGUCUUUUCAGUCCAAGCGACAAAUUCUCUCUUCUUGUUUAAGCCAUGAAAGUUGAGGAGGCGAGGCUUUAAAGAUGAGGUGCCAGGUUUACACCAUGUCACUUACACUUUCCUCUAUUUAAAGAUUAACUUGUGGAGCAUUCCUUGUGUGUUCUCUAAAUCUUUACAGUAACGAAAAAUAAUAGCAAAAAUUAGACUUCUCAUCCCAAUUCAAUAUAACAUGCUGUCUAACAAAUGUUAGCUAUUAACAUGUGUAAUAAAGGUAUUAAUUGUGAAACAAAGACUAAAUAUUGUCUGUACUU